rnacentral:rRNA from 1 species
UACAGAGGGGGCAAGCGUUGUUCGGAAUUACUGGGCGUAAAGGGCGCGUAGGCGGCCACCUAAGUCAGACGUGAAAUCCCUCGGCUCAACCGGGGAACUGCGUCUGAUACUGAGUGGCUUGAAUUCGGGAGAGGAAUGCGGAAUUCCAGGUGUAGCGGUGAAAUGCGUAGAUAUCUGGAGGAACACCAAUGGCGAAGGCAGCUCGCUGGGACGCGACUGACGCUGAGACGCGAAAGCGUGGGGAGCAAACGGG